UAAAAUAAUUCAUAAAUAUAUUCUUCCUAUACUGCAUCACUUAUAUUUUAUUUAGACUUAUCAUUUGAUUUUGCUUUCCUCUACCUAUUGCACUUAUCAUUAGUUUUGUUGUUGUGUCACCUCUUCAAGUAUUACAUUCUUGAUUAUCAUAAUUGCAUCAAAUAUCCAGUCACAGAAGCAGCAUGUAAUCAACAUCCAGUUUUGUAUGUUGUGCUUAUGUUUUUCUUAUUAUUCAUGUCAUCUGAUUAUUAUUAUUUUUUUUAACCUGAGGGCACUGAUUCUACUGAUUACAAAAAAUAUAUGUUUGUCUUCAUUUAGGAAGACCAACUAUGGGCUAUCGCUGCUAAGAUUCUGCUCUGCUGCUACACAUACCCCAUUUUGAUUUCAUGGGUUGAGAUUCAUUCCUGAUCCGUUCUUAAUUGUUUUUCUAGAGCUAGAUUACCUUCAACUUCAAGUGCUCUUUAACAUUUAAUCCAGUUUAUUUACAACUCCUAACCAAACUAAAAAUUGAUGUCUCUCGAUGAUAUUUUGCAACUAAAUAAGGAUUUUUUUUCCUACCUGAUCUUUGUCUCUCCUUACAUUUUGAGAUCUCUGUUUUCAAUACCAACUAUUUUGCAUCUUCUAGUUUCAAUGCUGUUACUCAAAUACGCCCAUUGAUUUCAUGGGUAAUCAAAAUGAUUUUUUGCGCGAGAUAUGGAGGGCAGUGUGGCAGCUUUACUUUGUCUGGUACAGAACUUCAAUUUGAAGGAUGCUGUAUGUUUGAACUUAAGUGCAACUGCAAAUGGUCAUUCUAAAUGAAAUACAGGGUGCUGACAUAACAAAAAGUAGCUGGGUUUCAGAUGGAGUUCGUGAUCCAGAAUUUAUUGAUAAUGUGAUAGCAUUAUCCUCUCUCUUGGUAGAAACAUUAGGAAAUAAAAAUAGCUAGAGUCUAUAUUUAUAUUUUCACUAUUUGAUUCCUCAUAAAACAUAAACCCCAUUUUGGUUUUCUAAUAAAAUUAAAAAUUUUGCAUGCAAAGGUUUAUUGAUAGAUCCAGCAAGUCCUAAAGACGCAAAUAAAGCAGUGAGUUAUGAUGCAUCAAGUGACCUCAAUAUUGGGCUUAAGGUGGUCAUCAUUUGUCUGGGUGUACUGGCAAUUGUUGCUUUUACUGUGCUGCUGUUUAGGAUAUGGCAAAAGAAAAAGAGGGAAGAGCAACAUGAUCGUCUUCUAAAGCUGUUUGAAGACGAUGAUGAUGAUGAGAUUGAGGUUGAACUUGGUAAGAGGGACUGAAAUAACUCUCACUGCCAUGUUCUGUGUUAGUUGAGGUUGGCCUCAUUAGAUGUUAUACAAUAGCUUCUUUUUUGUAUGUAAAAGAAAAUCUCGCAAUCUAGAUGUUACAUAAAUUGUAGAUUACUCAAUUUGAUCAGAUAUUGAUUUCGUUAAUACAUGGCAAUAUAUUCUUG
rnacentral:misc_RNA from 1 species